UUUGUUCGAACGGUGGAACAUGUGGUUUAAUGCGAUAAUCCACGCAAAAUCUUACCAAUGUUUUUAGCUUUAUCAGUAGUAUGGUUAACACCAAAACUAGGGGUAUUGUACGGAAUUGCAUGGCUGUCGUCAGUUCGUGCUGUGGAGUUUAGGAUUAAGUUCUUUUUAACGAAUGCAACCCUAUAAGUAAGUUUUUAUUUAAUAUUAAUUUAAUAUAUUAAAUGUACUUAUUUAAUCUAUAAUCAAACGUAACAAAAUCUGUUUUGUAUAUUUGAAUAUAGGGGUUUUAGGCUGAAGUCAAGUCCCUAUGGUCUUUAUACGUUGGGCUACACACGUGUUACAAGGGUGAAAACAAAGAGACGCAAGAGAGUAAUCUUAAGCAGACCUCGAAAAAUCACCUCAGUUCAGAUUGUUUCAUGAAAUUCUGAAACAUGAAGAUGAAAUCGUUAGUAAUUGUAAAUUAUUAUGUUACAGUGAAAUAAUAGUCAAAUUUUGCACACACCGCCCAUCACGCUCGGAAAGUCAAUAUUAGUGGAAGAUUUGAAAAUCUUUACGCAAAAUUAAAAUUAUUUAAUUGUUUAUAUGUUUUUUUUAAACAGCGUGAGUGAAAAGUAG
rnacentral:rRNA from 1 species